GGGCGCUUAGCUCAGCUGGGAGAGCGUUUGGUUUACACCCAAAAUGUCGGCGGUUCGAUCCCGUCAGCGCCCA
rnacentral:tRNA from 1 species